ACGAACGCUGGCGGCGUGCUUUAGGCAUGCAAGUCGAACGCGAAAGCCCCUUCGGGGGUGAGUAGAGUGGCGAACGGGUGAGUAACACGUGGGUAACCUGCCCCUCGCAGGGGGAUAACCGGGGGAAACCCCGGCUAAUACCCCGUACGCUUGCUGGGGCGCAUGCUCCGGCAAGGAAAGGUAGCUUCGGCCAUCCGGCGAGGGAGGGGCCCGCGGCCCAUUAGCUAGUUGGUGGGGUAACGGCCCACCAAGGCGACGAUGGGUAGCUGGCCUGAGAGGGGGGUCAGCCACACUGGAACUGAGACACGGCCCAGACUCCUACGGGAGGCAGCAGCCAGGAAUCUUGCGCAAUGGGCGAAAGCCUGACGCAGCAACGCCGCGUGGGCGAUGAAGGCCUUCGGGUCGUAAAGCCCUGUUGUCGGGGACGAAGGGCGAAGGGUUAAUAGCCCCUAGCCUGACGGUACCCGACGAGGAAGCCCCGGCUAACUACGUG
rnacentral:rRNA from 1 species